rnacentral:lncRNA from 1 species
AUGAUUACUGUUAUGUGUUUACCUUAUUCUUUUGCUUCUAAUCCUGCUUGGAUUCAAUAUAUUAGACGAGUAUUUAAUCCUACAUAUAAAGGUUGGCUCGCGCCACAGUUAAGGCCGACAUUUAUAAGUAUAAGCAUGAAUAUGAACAGUACUUGCUCUAUUUAUUUACUCAUAUAAGUAAUCGUAUGUCUAUUACAACUGAUAUUGGUAGAAGUGGAAAN